rnacentral:rRNA from 1 species
CUCUUGGUAAUUUUCUAAGUAACCUCUGCCCUAUGAGUUGCUUAAAUGGCCGCAGUAUUUUGACUGUGCAAAGGUAGCAUAAUCACUUGCCUCUUAAUUAGGGGCUGGAAUGAAAGAGGCGACGAAGUCUAGGCUAUUUAAAUUUUUAGAUAAAUUGACAAACAGGUCAAAAGGCCUGUAUAAACCAAAGGGACGAUAAGACCCUAUAAAACUUUACUUUUAGGUUGGCACUUGGYAGGGUKGUGUUAYRCUUGGGGGUUUAGCUGGGGCGGUGUUUAUAAAAACAAUUAUAUAUGCAAUAUGUUAAAUAGYGYGGUAGAACUCUUUAGGAAAUAAAACAAGUUACUUUAGGGAUAACAGCGUAAUUCUCUCAGAGAGUCCUAAUUGGCGGGGGAGCUUACGACCUCGAUGUUGAAUUGGGAUUCCGUGUGUAAGCAAACAUAYACAUAGGC